rnacentral:rRNA from 1 species
AGCUGUGCUACUAUACUUUGGGUACUUAUUUUGUCAGAUCUCAGAAGCUAAGCAGGGUCUUUCCUGGUCAGUACUUAAGAUGAGUGACCUCCAAAGAGCAUCAGGUGCUGCAGUAA